GUAUGAUACAGCAGUGUUCUAGCUUCCAGUUCUAGUGCAGCAGCUGCUACUCUUUCUCUGGCUAAUUCAGAUGUCUCACUGCUAAACUACCAGUCAGCUUUGUACCCAUCAUCUGCUGCACCAGUUCCUGGAGUUGCCCAGCAGGGUGUUUCCUUGCAGCCUGGAACCACCCAGAUUUGCACUCAGACAGAUCCAUUCCAACAAACAUUUAUAGUAUGUCCACCUGCGUUUCAAAAGUCGGAGCAAGCAGAAGGAAAAGAGGGCUAGGGGAGACUGAGAGAUUACCGGGAGGACAGGAGAGCGAUAGC